rnacentral:rRNA from 1 species
UACGUAGGGGGCGAGCGUUGUCCGGAUUUAUUGGGCGUAAAGAGCUCGUAGGUGGUUUGGUAAGUCGGAUGUGAAAUCCCCAGGCUCAACCUGGAGGGGUCAUUCGAGACUGCUAUGACUAGAGUUCGGUAGAGGAGUGUGGAAUUCCUGGUGGAGCGGUGAAAUGCGCAGAUAUCAGGAGGAACACCCGUAGCGAAGGCGGCACUCUGGGCCGAUACUGACACUGAGGAGCGAAAGCGUGGGGAGCGAACAGG